AAGGGAUUAGUUAAAGCAUAACACUAGAAUGUCAGACUAGAAUUACUUAUAUUUAGGUAUCUCUUU
rnacentral:tRNA from 1 species